UAAUUCUUUGUCGGCGCAUUCAACGCCGUUGAUUGUGGUCUGGCUCAUCUCCUUGUUUUGCAUUUAAUUUCUUUUACGUAUUUUUUUGUUUAAUUUUAAUUUUUGUUUUGCAUAAAAGAUUUGAAAAUUAGCAAGAAGCUACUUAUACCACCGACUUGAAAAAGAAAGAAAAUAGUGUUCAUUUGAAGCGAUUUGUUAGAAGGUAAAUAAAACAAUGGAUUCCCAAAACGAUUUCCCCGGCGCAUCCAGUUCUUCUGGAAAUACCGAUUUUCCUGUUUUACCUCCACCACCAUCUGCCCAUUCAACCAAUUCGUUUCCCACUAGCAACAAUAACCAACAGAACGCAGCUGCAAAACGCUUACAACAGACUCAAGCAAAGGUUGAUGAAGUCGUUGGCAUUAUGCGUGUCAACGUAGAAAAGGUUCUAGAACGCGAUCAAAAAUUGACGGAAUUGGGAGAUCGCGCUGAUGCUUUGGAACAAGGAGCCUCACAGUUUGAGCAGCAGGCUGGAAAAUUGAAACGCAAGCAGUGGUGGGCCAAUAUGAAAAUGAUGAUCAUAAUGGGAGUGAUCGGUGUUGUACUUUUAAUUAUCAUCAUAGUUAGUCUAUUAUCAUAGAUACAUAGAUACAGAUGUUGGCAUUCAGAAACAUAAUUCAAAAUUGAUAUUUAAAAUUAGUUUAGGCAAUUCGAUACAUUCCGUUAUUUGUUUAUUGUGACUUUUUCAUUGAUGCCUUCUGGCGGCAGCAGCGAUCACACUGAUCAAUUACCAGCCCAAUCUCAACCACCAGCUGCGAAUCAUAACUAAAGACGUCAGCAACCGUUUCCUGUUAAUAAUAAAAAUCAACGAGAACACAACAACAAUACAGCUACAAAUGUAAAUCUUAAUUGAACUUAAACUAAAACUAAUCCCUCUAACAAGACUACUUGGAAAUGCCAAAAGCGCCUUAUUUACAAGACAUCAGAUUGAUAUACUUUCAUACAUUAUAUACAGCUUUAUAUACAAAAGUAUUAACAACAAAUCCUCGGUUUCAGUUGAAAAGCACAAAUGUGACACUAAAGCACAGGUCCAGGAAACAUAUCAAAUCGUAAUAAUACCUCAUCACUGGACGAUGAGUAACAACUCGGUUAUUCCUUCUUUCAUUUGUAUAACGGUUUUCAAUACAAAGUUAUAGUUUUAUUUUUUCGUAUUGGUAUUCUCAAAACUGGUUUCAAUGGAAAGUAAAUAUAAUAUUUUCACACAAAAAAAUAGGAGCCAACAACAAGAAAUUAAUGUAAUUCUUAUAAACUUUAUGUAAGUGUUUAUACAAGUAUAUUAUAUAUAUAUAUUAUUAUUAUUAAAUAAAAUUUGUGUAUUGAAAAA